rnacentral:rRNA from 1 species
CGGUGCGCUAACCAGCAAUGGAGGCAGCCGACCACGGUAGGUCAGCGACUGGGGUG